rnacentral:rRNA from 1 species
UUGAUCCUGGCUCAGAAUCAACGCUGGCGGCGUGCCUAACACAUGCAAGUCGAACGAGAAAGUGGAGCAAUCCACGAGUACAGUGGCGCACGGGUGAGUUACACGUGACUAACCUACCCUUGAGUGGGGGAUAACCUAGAGAAAUCUGGUCUAAUACCGCAUAAUACCUUCGGGUCAAAGGAGCAAUUCGCUUAAGGAGUGGGUCGCGGCCGAUUAGUUAGUUGGCGGGGUAAUGGCCCACCAAGACUAUGAUCGGUAUCCGGCCUGAGAGGGCGCACGGACACACUGGAACUGAAACAUGGUCCAGACUCCUACGGGAGGCAGCAGUGGGGAAUUUUGCGCAAUGGGGUAAACCCUGACGCAGCAACGCCGCGUGGAGGAUGAAGUCCCUUGGGACGUUAACUCCUUUCGAUCGGGACGAUAAUGACGGUACCGAGAGAAGAAGCCCCUGCUAACUUCGUGCCAGCAGCCGCGGUAAUU